UAAUUGAAGAGUUUGAUCAUGGCUCAGAUUGAACGCUGGCGGCAGGCCUAACACAUGCAAGUCGAGCGGCAGCGACAUAAACAAACCUUCGGGGGCGCUUAUGGGCGGCGAGCGGCGGACGGGUGAGUAAUGCCUGGGAAAUUGCCCUGAUGUGGGGGAUAACCAUUGGAAACGAUGGCUAAUACCGCAUAAUAGCUUCGGCUCAAAGAGGGGGACCUUCGGGCCUCUCGC
rnacentral:rRNA from 1 species